UACGUAGGUGUCAAGCGUUGUCCGGAUUUAUUGGGCGUAAAGCGCCCGCAGGCGGCUUGCCAAGUUCGAUGUGAAAUCUCCCGGCUCAACUGGGAGGGUGCAUCGAAAACUGGCAGGCUUGAGGCAGGGAGAGGGAUGUGGAAUUCCAGGUGUAGUGGUGAAAUGCGUAGAUAUCUGGAGGAACACCGGUGGCGAAGGCGGCAUCCUGGACCGGCAUUGACGCUGAGGCGCGAAAGCUAGGGGAGCAAACGGG
rnacentral:rRNA from 1 species